rnacentral:rRNA from 1 species
AAACGACUGCUAAUACCGCAUAAUGUCUACGGACCAAAGGGUCGCUUCGGCUCUCGCCUUUAGAUUGGCCCAAGUGGGAUUAGCUAGUUGGUGAGGUAAUGGCUCACCAAGGCGACGAUCCCUAGCUGGUUUGAGAGGAUGAUCAGCCACACUGGGACUGAGACACGGCCCAGACUCCUACGGGAGGCAGCAGUGGGGAAUAUUGCACAAUGGGCGCAAGCCUGAUGCAGCCAUGCCGCGUGUGUGAAGAAGGCCUUCGGGUUGUAAAGCACUUUCAGUCAGGAGGAAAGGUUAGUAGUUAAUACCUGCUAGCUGUGACGUUACUGACAGAAGAAGCACCGGCUAACUCCGUGCCAGCAGCCGCGGUAAUACGGAGGGUGCGAGCGUUAAUCGGAAUUACUGGGCGUAAAGUGUACGCAGGCGGUUUGUUAAGCGAGAUGUGAAAGCCCCGGGCUCAACCUGGGAACUGCAUUUCGAACUGGCAAACUAGAGUGUGAUAGAGGGUGGUAGAAUUUCAGGUGUAGCGGUGAAAUGCGUAGAGAUCUGAAGGAAUACCGAAUUGGCCGAAAGCAGCCACCUGGGUCAACACUGACGCUCAUGUACGAAAGCGUGGGGAGCAAACGGGAUUAGAUACCCCGGUAGUCCACGCCGUAAANCGAUGUCUACUAGAAGCUCGGAGCCUCGGUUCUGUUUUUCAAAGCUAACGCAUUAAGUAGACCGCCUGGGGAGUACNGGCCGCNAAGGUUAAAANCUCAAAUGAAUUGACGGGGGCCCGCACAANGCNGGUGGANGCAUGUGGUUUNAAUUCGAUGCAANCGCGAAGAACCUUNANCCUACACUUNGACANUACNAGANGAANCUUANCCAGANGANUGGUUUGGNUGCCNUUCNGGGAANCUNCUNGAUANNCAGGUGCNUGCNAUGGCUNGUCGUCAGNCNUCNGUGUUNGNUGANGAUGUUGGGNUUAAGUCCCNNGCAACGAGNNCGNCAACCCCUANUCNCUUAGUUGCUAGNCAGGUNAAUGCUNGAGAACUCUAANGGAGACUGNNCCGGUGANUAAACCGGNAGGAANGGUGGGGACGNACGUCAAGUCNANNUCAUNGNGCCCUUANCNGUGUNAGGGCNUANCACACGUGCUACAAUGGCGCAUACAGAGUGCUGCGAACUCGCGAGAGUAAGCGAAUCACUUAAAGUGCGUCGUUAGUCCGGAUUGGAGUCUGCAACUCGACUCCAAUGAAGUCGGAAUCGCUAGUAAUCGCGUAUCAGAAUGACGCGGUGAAUACGUUCCCGGGCCCUUGUACACACCGCCCGUCACACCAUGGGAGUGGGUUGCUCCAGAGGUAGAUAGUCUAACCCUCGGGAGGACGUUUUACCACGGAGUGAUUCAUGACUG